rnacentral:rRNA from 1 species
CCUACGGGUGGCAGCAGUAGGGAAUAUUGCGCAAUGGGGGAAACCCUGACGCAGCAACGCCGCGUGGAGGAAGAAGGCUUUCGGAUUGUAAACUUCUUUUGUUAGAGACGAUAAUGAUGAUAUUAAACGAAUAAGCACCGGCUAACAACGUGCCAGCAGCCGCGGUAAUACGGCGGGUGCAAGCGUUACUCGGAAUCACUGGGCGUAAAGGGCGCGUAGGCGGGAUAGCAAGUCAGAUGUGAAAUCCUAUGGCUUAACCAUAGAACUGCAUUUGAAACUGUUAUUCUAGAGUAUUGGAGAGGUAGGUGGAAUUCUUGGUGUAGGGGUGAAAUGCGUAGAGAUCAGGAGGAAUACUCAUUGCGAAGGCGGCCUGCUAGAACUUAACUGACGCUGAUGCGCGAAAGCGUGGGGAGCAAACAGGAUUAGAUACCCUUGUAGUC